GUCCCAUAAAUACCUUGCCUAUUCUUUAAACUCCAAAUCACUGCUACUAAUCCUUCAUCUCCCCACUAAGGCCUUGAUGAAAUGAUCAGGAAAACCAGAUGCAAGGAAAAGAUGACCAAUGGAUGCCGGUGUGGCUAGAUCCUGAAGCCUUUCCAACUUUUCCAAGCCUCCAUGGAACUUAAAUAUAGCCCUAGGCCAGGUAUUGCCCAACUGCGAAGUGAGGAAACCUCUAUCAAGGUGUAACUCCAUGCCUGGUCUACAGUGACUACUGUGAUGCUACUCAUGAUAACCAGGCUACUGGACUUACUUGGUGUUGUGGACUCUCAGCUUCUGAAUCAAAAUGAUCAGGAAGGGUAAGCAUUUUGAGUCAAUUCAGAACACUGAAGCAGCCUGGACAGUGCAAUUAAAAAUGCAAAAAAGGACUUCUAGAGAGAAACCUCUGCCAGGACAUGCUGAGAAGGUGCUAUUUUCAAAUUAGAAGACAGGCCCUCACCAGACCUGUGUUCUGCUGCUGCUUUGGUUUUA